rnacentral:lncRNA from 1 species
AAAAAAAAAUAACUAUAUAUUAAGAAAAAGUCUGAAGGCAGGAAGCUAGCACAGACAAAGACAAAAAGGUGUAAGCUUCAAGAGAGAACCUGAGAGACCAGCCGCACGGAUCUCCUAGGAGUGACCUGGUUAGAUACAGGUGUUGCACUUCUCAUAAUCUUUGUUUUAGGUUCAUCACAAGAAUUCUGAUCCUCUCCAUCUAUAUGGGAUCUCUUUCUCAGAAUUUCAUUAGAUUCCACACCAUCAAGCCCAACAAAAGUCUCUUCCAAUGAGUCAUGUUGACAGCAUCUGGAAGAAGCAAAAUGUGUGUUUAGAUAGAUUACCCUAUAAAACUACACAGUAAUAUAUGGAGUAUCAAUUACAAGAGGAAUUACUCUGAAAGCUCUCUCCCACUGUCAACUUUGUUCAUUUCCUGCAAAAGACAGAAGUUACAGAUCUGCAGUUUCAUAAACUAUAAUUAGCAGUACAUAUCAUCCUCAAAAGUAAUCUAGAAGUCAUUAGAUAGCAGUUCCGCAAAUGGCCCAUGAGCUCAUGACUGCCAUGCACUAUAUUUUGUUUCUCAAGUGUCAAACUUUCCAAAACUACUUGAUAGUCGAAGACAAACAAGAACUAUCAAGCAGCAUCUGAACAUUGAUGACCCUAGGGGCGAGAUCAAAGUUUUAUCUGAAGCUCUCAUCCAACAAGUGCAUUUUUUUUUAAGUAGAAACAACUGGAUGUAUCUUUAAAACUUUGUUUAAUUGAUAGCAAAACUAUAUCCAUUUUAGAUGUCAGAGAAUAGAGAUGAAUAGUGACAUUGCAUAAUGUAAUGGAAUGCACUUUUCUUGGUCAUCUUGAUAGUCAAAAGAAUAAAUAAAACUAUUAGAUAUGCAAGCAUAGAAAAAUAUGUUAUUAUGUCUAUAUGAAUGUUUUAACAAAUAACAAUAUUUUGGAGUAUAACACAUCAUUAUGUUUAUAUGCAUAUUUAAUGAUUAACAAGGAUUUGGAACAAUAGAACACAGCAUUAUUCUGUACAAGCACAUGGUAUGAUAGAAAUGUAUAGCAUAAGGACAUCCAUUAUACAUGGCAAAAGGAUGGUAUUUAGUCCAGUUCUAGCAGCAUUUUUCUGGUGGUAUAGGGACUAGUCUAAUACCUGUUCUUCAGGAAAUGAAGGGAAACAUCUCCUGUAGGUCUCAUGACUGGACACAGUUGCAUUGGCUAAUUCAUCUUGUUCUGCAUCUGUAUCAACCAAAGCCACAGGUUUUACAUAUUCACAAGGUAGAAGUGAUGCAUUGUUGCUG